rnacentral:misc_RNA from 1 species
GAUGAAGAACGUAGCGAAAUGCGAUAAGUAGUGUGAAUUGCAGAAUUCAGUGAAUCAUCGAAUCUUUGAACGCACAUUGCGCCCUUUGGUAUUCCAAAGGGCAUGCCUGUUCGAGCGUCAUUUGUACCCUCAAGCUUUGCUUGGUGUUGGGCGUCUUGUCUCUAGCUUUGCUGGAGACUCGCCUUAAAGUAAUUGGCGGCCGGCCUACUGGUUUCGGAGCGCAGCACAAGUCGCACUCUCUAUCAGCAAAGGUCUAGCAUCCAUUAAGCCUUUUUUUCAACUUUUGACCUCGGAUCAGGUAGGGAUACCCGCUGAACUUAAGCAUAUCAAUAAGCGGAGGA